CCCAAGGAGAAUGAUGGGCGUUAACAUAUACGAAGGCGUCAGCAUCGACCGCUUCGUUAGAACCCGGGGAGAGGGUAGUCUGGCUUCGGUUUGGUGUUCCGCCGAUAUUAGCCGCCGGUUAGUUGCGUCCUCUCCUCUCUCUCUCUCCGCCGCCGCCGCCGCCGCCGCCGCCGAGAUCUCCUGCGGUUUAUUUUCCUUGUGCCUUUGCCAGAGGCGUUCCAAUCUCCGCGGCCGGCAACUGACGGAGCCAGCUGCACCACAAUUUGCGGCAGUGGGUCGUCGACAAGAUAAGGGAUGCUUUGACGAGACACUUGCCUAUCAGAGUCCAUUGUGAAAAAAUCUUCUGAGAAAUUGGCCAUGAUAUAUCUGAUCCAUGCAUAAUAUCAUGAAAAAUGGAUACAAAUUGAGUUUUGGUACCUCUGCUUGUGAUUGGCCCAGAGGAAUAAGGCUCACAAAAAAGAACUGGAUACACAUCCUUGGUAUAUGGAAGUACCCCGACAGGUCUGGCUCCCUAACUAAAGGAUUAGCUUUUGGAGAAGCCGCUGCGAAGCGGCUUGCUUAGAUCAAAUGAGAUAUCCCAACCUUUGAUUGUCAAACUUGCAGUUCCCAUGAACCAAGCACAGGAUGAUGAACAAGGCAAUGGGGCCUACAGAGCCCCAUUUAUACCACCACUCAAAACGACAACUCAAAACACCAAUUCAUCAGCGAAACUCACCCCUAUUUCACUUACGAAGCAACCGGGCUCGCCUCAACAAGAUAAGCUGCAUCCCGUAGGGAAAGAGUCCCGUAGGCCCAAGGCUUAAACGAACUUCAAAAAGAUGCUGUAUGAUUUGAAGAAAAGAUUUAUACUGCAGCUACAAGCCCGGUACAUACCUGAAUUUCUAACUUCCCUUAUGAUUCUUUUAUAAUGUAAGAUGGAUUCUUCCUGCUAUAAGCAAUUAACCAUCAUUCCUUCUUAGUGACUGUUCCUAUAAAUUUAGAAUUACAACUGAAGGCUUGCUAAAGUGUGUGUUCUGGAAAACAUCUUUUUUGUUUGUUCUAUAACCUGGGACCAGCGGACACAACAGACUGCCGAAACUGGCUAUCGUUUUGUCAUCAAACGAUUUUAGUGAUCAUGGCAAUGCAGAGUUCUGAAUUAAGGUGCUCAAGUGCAAUGUAUGUUUAGCUGAUUAGGAAGCUAAUCAAGUUACCCUUGUCUGCAUGUAUUUGUUCAA